UAGCAAUCCCACGAAUCGAAUCAGUUUGAUCAGAGACUACAAAGAGAGUGGAGUGUUGUUGAAAGAUUGCGUUGUGUUUAUUGUUUUUUGUUUUUUUAUAAAACAUUGAAAUUAUUUUUUUUGUGCAAAAUUUAUUGAACUAAAAACAAAAGGCCUGUAAAUAAAAAACUGAAAGAAAAAACGGCGCAUAUAAUUAGAAUUGGAAAUACCUUUGUUAAAUUUAUUGUUGUAGUCUUCUUCACACAAUCAUGGACACAUUCCGCUACUUAUGGUCUGGACAAACUGCCACAAGAGAUACCAACAAUACCCACCACACAUCUGCAGGUCCAAUGACAAUGACCUAUCAUCAUGAAUCUCGUAAUAGUACCACCCUGGGAUCAUCGAAUGGAUUGCGGGAUGAUUUGAAUAUAAAUCAGAAGCCGGAUAUGAAGCGAAAGGAUGCGGACAAAUAUUUUUACAUAUUGUGGCAUCCAUAGGCGACCUGUAAAUCCCCCCUUGUUCAGCUGAGUAGUAAUUCGGCAUCCUUAUUACUUACAUAUUAUAUAUAUUUACCCUUUACAUCAAAUAUUAUCAAUGCAUUUCAUUUGAAAUACUUUAUACAUAUUUUUUUCAUAUCUCCAAACAAAAGUUACCUGUAUUAUUUUUCUUUUAUUUCAAAUGUUAUUAUAUUCAUUAUUUUGAAUAUCGAUUUGAAUGUUAACUACAACUACAGCAUACCAAUCAGGUCAAGUGAUAUUAUAAAUUUUAAGUCUGUGUGUGUUUUUUUUAAAUUUAAUACAAUAAUUUA